UACGUAGGGUGCGAGCGUUAAUCGGAAUUACUGGGCGUAAAGCGUGCGCAGGCGGUUUUGUAAGCCAGAUGUGAAAUCCCCGGGCUCAACCUGGAAAUGGCAUUUGGGACUGCAAGGCUGGAGUGUGGCAGAGGAGACUGGAAUUCCCGGUGUAGCAGUGAAAUGCGUAGAUAUCGGGAGGAAUACCGAUGGCGAAGGCAGGUCUCUGGGCUGACACUGACGCUCAUGCACGAAAGCGUGGGGAGCAAACAGG
rnacentral:rRNA from 1 species